rnacentral:ncRNA from 1 species
AGCAAAGCGGACUUAAGCUUGCCACCCCGAAACCUAAGUGAGCUACUUGUAAGCAGCUAUCCCUGAGCGAACCCGUCUCUGUUGCAAAAGAGUGGGAUGACUUGCUAGUAGAGGUGAAAAGCCGAUUGAGCUGGGUGAUAGCUGGUUACCUGUAAAACAAAUCUAAGUUCAACCUUGAUAUAUCCUCCAGGAACCCUCAGCCAUCCCAAUGAAGAUUUUCAAGAGUAAUUUAAAGAGGGUACAGCUUCUUUAAAAAAGUGUACAACCUCCCCUAGCGGAUAAUUAACAACCUUGUACAUAACAAUUGUGGGCCUUCAAGCAGCCACCAACAAAGAGUGCAUCAAAGCUCCGUUUCUGCAAAAAUCCUAAACCCAUAUGACUCCUUUCUCACUAACAGGUCAACCUAUAUCCAUAGGAGAGUGAAUGCU